UCUAGUUUAAACAAUAAAGAACAAAUAAGCCCAAGAAAGUGACUUGGCUGGGAGGUCCAUGCUAGCUGCCUUAACCCUCUACGGGAGCUUUAGGACCUACUAUUCAUUGGUGAGGACAGAUGGUUCACCUCCACGAACGACAUGCAGGUGUGUCCCCGGGGCAGACUCCAUCUCUGAUGACAGAAAGAGCCAAGCAUCCCGCGUAUGGAUAAAGCAGGCCAGGAAGCCAGUUGCCAGCCUGACCCAGAGGCGGUACUGGAAGGGCCCCGACGCCCCCGAUGACCCAAUCCUCCCAGGCCACCGGGCUAAUUAUAAGAAAGCCUAGCAGAGAGUCCGUUGCAAAAGCGGUUCGAGAGUCAACGAAAGCUCUGUUGUCCUAUUCUACCUUAAUGCUUCAGUAUGUACUUCCUAAAGACAAGAACCCUCUCCUCCAUAAUCACCAUACAACCAUGAAAAUCAGGAAAGUGUUCAAUGCUACCGUGCAAUCCAUACAGAUUUUGCUGAUAGCCCCUAUAGUGUUCCUUUCAAGGUCUCGGAUCCAGUCAACGAUCGUGCAUUGGAUUUCCUUGCCCUAUCUCUUUAGUCGCUUGACCUGGGCCAGUUCCUCAGGCUUUUCCUUCUCUUUCAUGAACUUGUACGUCUGCUGCGUCCAAACCCUUUACUCCGGAGAAGACCUCGUGUUUUGGGUUUUAUCUCGUGAUUAGAUUCAGAUUUUGCAUCUUUGGCCGCAGCGUCUCAGAAAUGACACCGUGUUCGUGUCAGCGCAUCAUUCAGGUGGCACAUUAUUCCCGGCGAUGCUGGUUUUACCACUUGGCUAACGUCGUUCCUUCCAGGCUUCUCCACCGUGAAGUUAACAAAUAUGUUUUAAGUACUUAACGUGGAUUUGGGGGGAGUCUACUUUGAGAUUAGGUAAAUACCCUGUUUCUUGUCAAAGUUUUGGCCACUAGUUUUAGCUUUCGUUGAAUGCUCGCUGUUGUUAGAAAUUAAUUUAUCGGAACACAGCCAGGCCGAUUCUUUUACGUAAUUUGUGUGGCCGCAUCUUUGCCACAAAAACAGAUGUGCAUAUCUCUUGCAGAGACGAAAUAUCGCCACAAAGCCUAAAUUAUUUACUCUAUGACUUUUUUACAGAAAAGCUUGCUGCCCUUCGCUCUUUUGAGCCUGGUAAUCUGUAUUUUAACAAGUGCCUAGAUACUUAAAAACCUUGCGGCAGUGUAUUUUGUUCUCUGUGUUGUUGCAGUCUGUGUUGAAUUACUUAUAAUAUCUUUUCAGCUCAUCACUUUAUGUGCCCUUUCACAUCUUCUUUUGUCAGAUUUACACCUUCUUUUUACAAGAUUUGCCAAAGCAGAUGAUCGGAUUAACGUAUCUUUGAAACACCACUGUAUGAACUGUACACAGAGCGGUAUGCUCACGUGGAUUUUCAGUUCUCUCUUUGAUAUCAUGGUUUGUUGAAAAACUUCACGACUUUGAGAAGGAACCGUAAUGAUCUCCCUUCGUAGUACAGGGUUUACUCUGUAACAGAUCCCCGAUACCCAGUCAUCGAGCGUGUGCGCCCUCACCGGAACACCUGAUUCGUAGUGUAGUGUAGCUCUGUAUGCGGCUGGUAUUUGUCUUGGGAUCCGUGACUUCCAUUUGCUGGUUAAGAUCCGAAGCUAAUCCGCGAGGUGCCGGGCCACGAUGCGGUCCCGCUCCCCGCGGCCCCGUCUCUGAAAGCAUGUGACAAGGGCAUCAUGUUACAUUUCCACUUCAGGGCACAAUUCACUCACCUUAGAUCCCUUCUGGAGAAGACAGGAUGAGAUUCGUUUGAGUAUUACUAAUUCCUUCUGUUUCGAGUACUUGAACAAAAGUUCCUUGCCUCGGUGAGUGCUUCUUCCUUCCCACUGUUACCAGCCGUGCUUUGACUUUUCCAGAUAGAAGGAGAUAGGAACAGGAAAAAGAUGCAUUGUUGGCUGGGGGAGGGUAAUCAAGCAAGGCAAAGUAGCAAAAAGGAAACAGACAAACAGCAGCAUGGGCAGACCUGGUUUUCAACCCCAAAUUUGCCAGUCACUUGGAAUGCUAAGAAAUUUGCGUGACUCUGUCUGAGACCCAGUUCCCUAAUCAGUAGAACAGGAAUAAUAG